UGGGGACUCAAAAAACUUAUUUAAUCACACAUACACGGGCUAACUCAUGGUUGUCAUCAUCUAGGUGUUAGUCUUGUUAGUGUUUUCCCGUUUCUGAUAUAUUGUAGAAACAACUGUUUAUUGUUUAAAGGUUUAUGUUGACUUUUACAAAUAUCUUUUAAGUUGUCGAUUGUUUUCAGUUGAUGUUUCAUUGAUGUAUUUCUUCCAUCUCUAUUUGCUGUUAGGGGUAUAAGAGUUGUUUCCUUUCGUUUGAUGUGUUUGAGCUUUUGAUUUUGCCAUUUGAUUACUUUCUGUUUUGAAUUUUCCUUUGAUUUCGGUAAUUUUGUUAUUUUACUUUUUUAUAUUAUCUAUUGGCUCGUAGAUAUUUUUAUCUGCGUGUCUUCAUCAUUUAGUUUUAGUAGACUCCUUAUGUACCAUAUGAUUUUAUAUUUUCCUUCUACAGAGAAUAUG
rnacentral:lncRNA from 1 species